rnacentral:snRNA from 1 species
GGAUAUAGGGCAAUCUGACUGUGAUAACUGACCCCAUUGAGUCAGCUGAUUUGGCUGGUUGGUUGGGUGUUACCUUUCUCCCUUGCUACUCCAUGUGUGGUCCUCCCCAAGCUGCACCCUUGGUGGAAGAGGAUGGCCAUUCCCAAUAUAGGAGGACCAUUCUUUGGUCAAUGGCAUACGACUACCUGUGCUCCCUUGCUAGAUCCUCCAAAUAAGCUAUUUUGUUUAUUUUAAAGUUUCUACUUUAAAAUUUUGAGAAAGCAGGAAAAAUUUGGCUUACCAAGCAAUCAAAAGUUUAUGUAAAUUUUACAUCAGAAAAAUUCAGUAA